rnacentral:rRNA from 1 species
GACGAACGCUGGCGGCGUGCUUAACACAUGCAAGUCGAACGGAAAGGCCUCUUUCGGGGGGUACUCGAGUGGCGAACGGGUGAGUAACACGUGAGUAACCUGCCCUUGACUUUGGGAUAACUUCAGGAAACUGGGGCUAAUACCGGAUAGGAGCUCCUGCUGCAUGGUGGGGGUUGGAAAGUUUCGGCGGUUGGGGAUUGACUCGCGGCUUAUCAGCUUGUUGGUGGGGUAGUGGCUUACCAAGGCUUUGACGGGUAGCCGGCCUGAGAGGGUGACCGGCCACAUUGGGACUGAGAUACGGCCCAGACGCCUACGGGAGGCAGCAGUGGGGAAGAUUGCACAAUGGGUGGAAGCCUGAUGCAGCAACGCCGUGUGCGGGAUGACGGCCUUCGGGUUGUAAACCGCUUUCGCUCAUGACGAAGCUUUGUGUGACGGUAGUGGGUAAAGAAGCACCGGCUAACUACGUG